UUCUGGCACACAUUGUGGGGUGGUGCAAUUACAAGGGUCAUUCUCUCUCUAUAUUUGUCUUUGAUUACCAUACAAUAAUUCAUCAGUGCUGUACUACAAUUCCUGAAUCCAGCAUCUAACAGUAAUCAUAUAUUACUAGCACACCGCAAGCGCUUGAUGCUGCCUCUUAGGUGUCCAAAGUAUAAUAAAAAAAAGUUGGUGUGUGACUCCCAACUCCCAGAUGCUUCCAUUCUGAUUGGUUGGGGGGCGUGGCCAUAAGGGUCAAUGAUGACAUGCGCGCAUAGUUAUUUGAAUGCGCAUAACUAAUGAAUUCUACCCAAUGCGCCUCAAGGCUGCCUCGGGCAGCAGGCAGGAAGAGCUGGAGAAAAUAGUGACGUCACCCAAGUCACACACUGCAGUGCUGAGAGAUCGUAGCUGCUUCAACAUGAGACCACAGAGAAACCACAAGAAACGGCCUGCAAGAACUUUCAUGAAUGGAGAUGUUCUACCAGCUGCUGGAGCAUAAAUUCAUGAGAGAAGCCCUGGACAUAGACCCCUGUCUGAAGCUUACUGAUAAGUACCUCUUGGCCACGGUCCAGGUGUAUUUCCAGCGAGCCAGGCUUAAAGAAGAGGAGUACAUCGUAGGGUACUUUUUUGGAGCCGUGUAAGUAGCUUUCUUUAUUUCCAUGCAUGUUCUACAAAAUAAUAAGAGGAUGAAUUUAUAUCUGAAUAGCUGUAUAAAGAAAUAAAAGUCCAAUUGGUCUAUAAACUUAACUCAUUGGCAAAUCUUGCAUAGUUUUGACACAUGACAGUUGUGAAUGGGUACAUCAAGGAGGAAGGUAAGAGAUGUUGAGGGGAGCCAGACAGUGUAGUUAAUAGUGGACUGUGACAUAGAUGGCAGGGAUUGGGUGAAUCAGAGGCAUGAGUUGGGAUGAUUUGGAGUCAGGAUUCAAACUCAGACAGGCCCAGGAAAAAAACAGGCAGGUGUUAAACCUAAUCUAACAAUAUGUCAACCCUAUACUUCAACCUUGCAACAUUCUGUCGCACACUGCAUUUUGGCAGGACUCUGACAAUAACACAUCUUGUGCAGUCUAGUUUAUGAGCUAGCUAGAGCAUUGUAAAGCUAGAACAGGGGUCAGCAACCUUUACUAUCAAAAGAGCCAUUUUGCCCCCUUUUCCACUACAAAAAAAUCCG